rnacentral:pre_miRNA from 1 species
GACACCUUAGAAUCUUGUUAGAAUUCAGAUUCUGAUUCAGUAGGUCUGGGAUGAUGCCUGAGAUUCUGCAUUUUUAACGAGCUCCCUGGUGGUGCUAA